UGGGGAAUAUUGCACAAUGGGCGAAAGCCUGAUGCAGCGACGCCGCGUAAGGGAUGACGGCCUUCGGGUUGUAAACCUCUUUCAGUAGGGAAGAAGCGAAAGUGACGGUACCAGCAGAAGAAGCGCCGGCUAACUACGUGCCAGCAGCCGCGGUAAUACGUAGGGCGCAAGCGUUAUCCGGAAUUAUUGGGCGUAAAGAGCUCGUAGGCGGUUUGUCGCGUCUGCCGUGAAAGUCCGGGGCUCAACUCCGGAUCUGCGGUGGGUACGGGCAGACUAGAGUGAUGUAGGGGAGACUGGAAUUCCUGGUGUAGCGGUGAAAUGCGCAGAUAUCAGGAGGAACACCGAUGGCGAAGGCAGGUCUCUGGGCAUUAACUGACGCUGAGGAGCGAAAGCAUGGGGAGCGAACAGG
rnacentral:rRNA from 1 species